CAAAUUAAUUUUUAUAAAAUAUUUUAUUUACAAUAAGAUAUAAGUUGUUAAAUCAACUUAAUUUGA
rnacentral:tRNA from 1 species